GAUGAACGCUGGCGGCGUGCCUAAUACAUGCAAGUCGAACGAACAGACCCUGCUCUUGCUCCUCUGACGUUAGCGGCGGGCGGGUGAGUAACACGUGUAUAACCUCCCUAUAUGUCUGGGAUAACUUCGGGACACCGGAUCUAAUACCGGAUAAUAUCUUGAACCGCAUGGUUCAAUAGUGAAUUACGGCUUUUCUGUCACUUAUAGAUGGAUCUGCGCCGCAUUAUCUAGUUGGUAAGGUAACGGCCUACCAAGGCAACGAUGCGUAGCCGACCGGAGAGGGUGAUAGGCCACACGGGAACUGAGACACGGUCCAGACUCCUAAGGGAGGGAGCAGUAGGGAAUCUUCGGCAAUGGGGGAAAGCCUGACGCAGCAACGCCGCGUGAGUGAUGAAGGUCUUCGGAUCGUAAAGCUCGGUUAUUAGGGAAGAACAAAUGUGUAAUGAAAUAUGGACGUCUUGACGGUACCGAAUCAGAAAGCAACGGCUAACUACGUG
rnacentral:rRNA from 1 species